rnacentral:rRNA from 1 species
CGAAUGCUGACAUAAGUAACGAUAAAGCGGGUGAAAAGCCCGCUCGCCGGAAGACCAAGGGUUCCUGUCCAACGUUAAUCGGGGCAGGGUGAGUCGACCCCUAAGGCGAGGCCGAAAGGCGUAGUCGAUGGGAAACAGGUUAAUAUUCCUGUACUUGGUGUUACUGCGAAGGGGGGACGGAGAAGGCUAUGUUGGCCGGGCGACGGUUGUCCCGGUUUAAGCGUGUAGGCUGGUUUUCCAGGCAAAUCCGGAAAAUCAAGGCUGAGGCGUGAUGACGAGGCACUACGGUGCUGAAGCAACAAAUGCCCUGCUUCCAGGAAAAGCCUCUAAGCAUCAGGUAACAUCAAAUCGUACCCCAAACCGACACAGGUGGUCAGGUAGAGAAUACCAAGGCGCUUGAGAGAACUCGGGUGAAGGAACUAGGCAAAAUGGUGCCGUAACUUCGGGAGAAGGCACGCUGAUAUGUAGGUGAAGUCCCUCGCGGAUGGAGCUGAAAUCAGUCGAAGAUACCAGCUGGCUGCAACUGUUUAUUAAAAACACAGCACUGUGCAAACACGAAAGUGGACGUAUACGGUGUGACGCCUGCCCGGUGCCGGAAGGUUAAUUGAUGGGGUUAGCGCAAGCGAAGCUCUUGAUCGAAGCCCCGGUAAACGGCGGCCGUAACUAUAACGGUCCUAAGGUAGCGAAAUUCCUUGUCGGGUAAGUUCCGACCUGCACGAAUGGCGUAAUGAUGGCCAGGCUGUCUCCACCCGAGACUCAGUGAAAUUGAACUCGCUGUGAAGAUGCAGUGUACCCGCGGCAAGACGGAAAGACCCCGUGAACCUUUACUAUAGCUUGACACUGAACAUUGAGCCUUGAUGUGUAGGAUAGGUGGGAGGCUUUGAAGUGUGGACGCCAGUCUGCAUGGAGCCGACCUUGAAAUACCACCCUUUAAUGUUUGAUGUUCUAACGUUGACCCGUAAUCCGGGUUGCGGACAGUGUCUGGUGGGUAGUUUGACUGGGGCGGUCUCCUCCUAAAGAGUAACGGAGGAGCACGAAGGUUGGCUAAUCCUGGUCGGACAUCAGGAGGUUAGUGCAAUGGCAUAAGCCAGCUUGACUGCGAGCGUGACGGCGCGAGCAGGUGCGAAAGCAGGUCAUAGUGAUCCGGUGGUUCUGAAUGGAAGGGCCAUCGCUCAACGGAUAAAAGGUACUCCGGGGAUAACAGGCUGAUACCGCCCAAGAGUUCAUAUCGACGGCGGUGUUUGGCACCUCGAUGUCGGCUCAUCACAUCCUGGGGCUGAAGUAGGUCCCAAGGGUAUGGCUGUUCGCCAUUUAAAGUGGUACGCGAGCUGGGUUUAGAACGUCGUGAGACAGUUCGGUCCCUAUCUGCCGUGGGCGCUGGAGAACUGAGGGGGG